UUGAUCGUGUUCAACGCCAGGUGGCUCAAAUUGUCGGCGACAAGGUCCUCUUUGAUUGGGUUAAUUCUUUGGCGCUGCGAAGAGAUGUCGGGUCACUUUGCAACUUCUACCGUAUCUACCACGGGGAGUGUUUUGAGGAAUUGUUCGGACUAAUAUCUACAGCAGAAUUCCACCACCGGACUUCGCGUGAUAAUUGCAAAUUUCACCCACAUCAACUUGAUGUCCGAAGGUCUACGACAGCUCGGUUUUUGCGGCAUUUCCUGCCACACACGACUACUCUAUGGAACCAGCUGCCACCUACGGUAUUUCCGAACCGAUACGACUUAGGAACCAUCAAAAGAAGAACAUAUUCCUAUUUGAAAGGUCGGCAACGUGCCUGAUGUAGCGGGUUCCUGUGGAUGUUGUUUUCACUUACCACCAGUGAACCCAGAUUGUGAACGAGCAUUCAACGAAGUUUAUUUAAUCAAAACAAAACUUAGAAACAGUUUAUCCAAUAAUACACGUAAGGGCAAAUUAUUAGCUAAGCAAUUAAUUAAGAAGAAACGAAAAUUUUACGAAGUUUAACCCAACAAAUUUUUUUAUUAAAAAAUACAUAGAGCAACACGGAGGGGAGUAGCCAUUGCGUUUGUUACCGAUACAAAACUGUCUGUCAUUUUUUGCGGGGAGAAAUUACACAAAUGCUCACUUUAUCUAAUUCCCACACAAUAAUAAUCGUCUGUCACUACGAAACUCACACAUACUAAAUUAAAAUCACACUUAAAUUUUUCACACACACACAUAGAUACAUUCUGUGUCACUACAGUAUAAUGACACGCCGCAACUACACUGACAAGUUGCUUCCAGCCCUGGUUGUACCAGUAAACCAUAAAUUCAAGUACUCGGUUAGGGAAAUAAGGUUUUUAAAGUGAUACAAAUCAGCUUUCUAUUAAAUUAAAAAUCAUCAAAAUCGGUCCACCCAGUCAAAAGUUCUGAAGUAACAUACAUAAAAAAAUACAGUCGAAUUGAGAACCUCCUCCCUUUUUGGGAGUCGGUUAAAAGUGUCGCGACAGCAUAUGUCUAUUAUAAUUAUGUCACAACACGUUUGGUGCAACGUUGUUGUGCCAAACAAUGCCAGUCUACAAUAAACGAUUUAAAGUUAACAUAAAUUUUGAGGAGUCGAUGAUGUACACGGUGAUGUCAACGAAUCGGGAAUAGGGAGUGUAGCACUAAUGGCAUCAUAAGAUGAUAGCUUGUCAUCUGCUAGAUUGAAUGAUUUGUUGAUGACUCUGAAAGGAUGGACAUUGUUAAUUUUCAAAGUUGAUAAAUCUAAGCUUCAUUUCACUACUAUGACUAAGGUGAACCAUAUCUUGAUUACCUUGUACAUGAGACAAAAAAAAAACUUACGGGACAAAAACAGUGUGGCGUUAGUGUUGGUUUGGUGCCC
rnacentral:misc_RNA from 1 species